GAUGAACGCUGGCGGCGUGCUUAACACAUGCAAGUCGAACGGGAAACCUUUUAUUGAAGCUUCGGCAGAUUUAGAUUGUUUCUAGUGGCGGACGGGUGAGUAACGCGUGGGUAACCUGCCUUAUACAGGGGGAUAACAGUCAGAAAUGACUGCUAAUACCGCAUAAGCGCACAGAGCUGCAUGGCUCGGUGUGGAAAACUCCGGUGGUAUAAGAUGGACCCGCGUUGGAUUAGCUAGUUGGUGAGGUAACGGCCCACCAAGGCAACGAUCCAUAGCCGGCCUGAGAGGGUGAACGGCCACAUUGGGACUGAGACACGGCCCAGACUCCUACGGGAGGCAGCAGUGGGGAAUAUUGCACAAUGGGGGAAACCCUGAUGCAGCGACGCCGCGUGAAGGAAGAAGUAUCUCGGUAUGUAAACUUCUAUCAGCAGGGAAGAAAAUGACG
rnacentral:rRNA from 1 species